CAGCAGCCGCGGUAAUACGGAGGGGGUUAGCGUUGUUCGGAAUUACUGGGCGUAAAGCGCGCGUAGGCGGAUUAGUAAGUUAGUGGUGAAAUCCCAGGGCUCAACCCUGGAACUGCCUCUAAUACUGCUAGUCUUGAGUUCGAGAGAGGUGAGUGGAAUUCCGAGUGUAGAGGUGAAAUUCGUAGAUAUUCGGAGGAACACCAGUGGCGAAGGCGGCUCACUGGCUCGAUACUGACGCUGAGGUGCGAAAGUGUGGGGAGCAAACAGGAUUAGAUACCCUGGUAGUCCACACCGUAAACGAUGAAUGCCAGACGUCGGGUAGCAUGCUGCUCGGUGUCACACCUAACGGAUUAAGCAUUCCGCCUGGGGAGUACGGUCGCAAGAUUAAAACUCAAAGGAAUUGACGGGGGCCCGCACAAGCCGUGGAGCAUGUGGUUUAAUUCGAAGCCACGCGCAGAACCUUACCAACCCUUGACAUCCCUAUCGCGGUUUCCAGAGAUGGAUUCUUCAGCUUCGCUGGACAAGGUGACAGGUGCUGCAUGGCUUCGUCAGCUCGUGUCGUGAGAUGUUCGGUUAAGUCCGGCAACGAGCGCAACCCACAUCCUUAGUUGCCAGCAGGUUAAGCUGGGCACUCUAGGGAAACUGCCCGUGAUAAGCGGGAGGAAGGUGUGGAUGACGUCAAGUCCUCAUGGCCCUUACGGGUUGGGCUACACACGUGCUACAAUGGCAGUGACAAUGGGUUAAUCCCAAAAAGCUGUCUCAGUUCGGAUUGUCGUCUGCAACUCGACGGCAUGAAGUCGGAAUCGCUAGUAAUCGCGUAACAGCAUGACGCGGUGAAUACGUUCCCGGGCCUUGUACACACCGCCCGUCACACCAUGGGAGUUGGUUCUACCUGACGACGCUGCGCUAACCCUUCGGGGAGGCAGGCGGCCACGGUAGGAUCAGCGACUGGGGUGAAGUCGUAACAAGGUAACCGUA
rnacentral:rRNA from 1 species